UGGGAGAAAGAUAAAGCUGUCUGCACCCAUAAAGAUUUAGAGUCUCGGGAAAAUGACUGGGUUGAAAAUAUUAUUCUAUUCACUUUGUUCCCAGCCUACAUUU
rnacentral:snoRNA from 1 species